AUUAGGUAAGAAUUUAUAUUUUAUCUUGUUAUAAAAGUGAACACAAUGUCUUGAUCAGAACAGCGUCUAGGAAGGGAGGUAAGAAAUAAGGAUUUUUGUUGAACCAUUGUGCGUUUCAAUUUCCUUCACUGCCUGUACAUCUUCAUUAUGAAUUAGUCUCUCACACUUCUCUUGUUUAACUCCCAGAGUUCAACGGAAGUAAGUCUACAUGUAGCAGUGGGUCUGUCACAGAGAACAGGGGAUGAAGCCACCAAGGGUCCAUUCAUUAUAGAUGAAGAUGCUAAGAGCAUUGUCUAUACCAGAGAAGGGGAGGAGGAUAGUCUCCGAGCAAGCCUGAGCAAGGUGCAAUUUCUGUAAUGAGGUCAGUUAUAAAAUACUAAUUUCUUUCCCCCUGAUAUUGUGAGUUUGUUAGAGAUUUUCUACUGCUAAUCUUAAAUAAACUCACAGUUUCAGUGGUGCACAC